GUUCCCUCUACUAAGAGUAUCCCCCUUGCAUGGCCUCUUGGCCAGUUCAGAUAGUCCUUCCUCAGAGAAGCCUGCUUCCUGCUCCUAGGCCAGAUCUGAUCUCCCUGCUCUCCUGCUGCAGAAACAGCCAAUCCCCUCCAGCCUUCAAUGCUGGGGGUCCAGCCUCCCUGGACCAGGCAGGCAGAGGAGGUGGGGGAGGCACGGAGAGAGAGGAUAACCAGAGCUGACACUUGUUGGACACUUUCCUGGCCAGGCCCUGGGCGAAGCGGCUAUGCUUUCCUCCUACGUUAUUUCACUGCAGAGACCUAAGGCCCAGAGAGACACCACAGUGCUGGUGAAUGCGAGAAGAGGCAUUUGAGGGCUCAAGAGUGAUGUGGAAACUGACCUGCGAUAACGUACCCA